UACGUAGGGGGCGAGCGUUGUCCGGAUUUACUGGGCGUAAAGCGCGUGUAGGCGGCCGGAUAAGUCGGGUGUGAAAGCCCGGGGCUCAACCCCGGGAUGCCGCCCGAGACUGCUCGGCUUGAGGACGGAAGAGGGGAGUGGAAUUCCUGGUGUAGCGGUGAAAUGCGUAGAGAUCAGGAGGAACACCCGUGGCGAAGGCGGCUCCCUGGUCCGUCCCUGACGCUGAGACGCGAAAGCGCGGGGAGCGAACGGG
rnacentral:rRNA from 1 species